rnacentral:rRNA from 1 species
GACGAACGCUGGCGGCGUGCUUAACACAUGCAAGUCGAACGGAAAGGCCCUGCUUUUGUGGUGUGCUCGAGUGGCGAACGGGUGAGUAACACGUGAGUAACCUGCCCUUGACUUUGGGAUAACUUCAGGAAACUGGGGCUAAUACCGUAUAGGAGCUCCUGCUGCAUUGUGGGGGUUGGAAAGUUUCGGCGGUUGGGGAUGGACUCGCGGCUUAUCAGCUUGUUGGUGGGGUAGUGGCUUACCAAGGCUUUGACGGGUAGCCGGCCUGAGAGGGUGACCGGCCACAUUGGGACUGAGAGACGGCGCAGACUGCUACGGGAGGCAGAAGGGGGGAAUAUUGCACAAUGGGCGGAAGCCUGAUGCAGAAACGCCGCGUGCGGGAUGACGGCCUGCGGGUUGUAAACCGCUUUCGCCUGUGACGAAGCGGGAGUGACGGUAAUGGGUAAAGAAGCACCGGCUAACUACGUG